AACAGUGUGAUGUAGUGGUUUGAGCAUUGGACUAGGAUUCCGGAGACCAGGGUUCAAAUCCCGGCUUGGCCA